CGCCUGUAAUUCCAGCACUUUGGGAGUCAGAGGCAGGAGGAUCGUUUGAGUCUAAGAGUUCAAGACGUGCCUAGGCAACAUGGCGAGACCCUGUCUCUACAAAAAACUUAAAAAUUAGCUGGGCAUGGUGGUGCAUGCCUGUGGUCCCAGCUACUCAGGAGGCUGAGAUGAGAGGAUUGCUUGAGCCUGGAAGAUCAAGGCUGCAGUGAGCCAUGAUCACGCCACUGCACUCCAGCCUGGGUGACAGAGUGAGACCUUGUCUCAAAAAAACAAAACAAAACAAAACAAAAAACAAAUAGAGAACAAAAGGUUUAGAAACAUACAACUGGCUCUAGGAAAACAACUCAACUGUUGAGAGCAAUAAGACAUAUGUACUGGCAACCUAUCAACUUGAGAUGUUAAUAAGAAAUCGGCCAACUUUUUUUUUUUUUUUUUAACAGAAGGUAAGGAGAAUGCAGGUUAACCAGUGGAAUUUCAGGUCAGUUCAGUCAAGAGAGUUGCAACUACGCCUGUUGGUCUCAAAGUUGGUUAUCAAUUGGAAUCACAUGAGCAGCCUUGAAAAUUCCAAAUACCCAGGCAACACCCAAGAGUAGUUAAAUCAGAACCUUUGGUGUCAACAUAGUAAUCAGGAACUUUGUAAUGAUCCCAUUCCAAUGUGCAGCCGAAAUUGAGAAGCUCCAGUUUAAGGUCAUGGACCAUGAAGCUUUCAAGUUCUGCCGCCUCCUCUCAACAUUAAUGUGUAUCAGCUUUGGGAAACUACAUGUAGAAGGUAUGAAGAAUGGCGGAAAGUAUAUAAAGGAACAAAGCACCACCAUUAAUUCCACAAAUCAGUACAGGAUCAAACCACCAUGAAAAGAAACCCAAGCUAGCCACAUGGGAAGAAAAGAGGAAAAGAUCACGCCCUCUCAACCUUCCGCACUGGGGAACUAGACAUGUGAACAAAGCCAUCUGAUUACAACCUCACAGGAGACCCCAACUGAAACCAACCAAAGAACAGCCCAGCAGAGAUCCAGCCAACCAAAGAAUCAUGAACAAAUAAAGUGGUUACUGUUUUAAGCA